rnacentral:lncRNA from 1 species
UUUUCCUUGCCUUGCUAGCAAGGAAGCUCGCGUUGAACACUGUAAUUGUUCUUGAAGAAGAGGAGGAGGUGGAUUUGGUUAUUGAAAUAAGCAAGAAACUUUCUGUUCGACCCGUGAUUGGAGUCCGAGCCAAGCUGAGAACCAAACACUCGGGUCAUUUCGGAUCCACCUCGGGUGAGAAAGGUAAGUUCGGGUUGACAACGAUCCAGAUUUUAAGGGUUGUUAAAAGGCUUCAGGAUUCGGGGAUGCUUGAUUGUCUGCAAUUGUUACACUUCCAUAUUGGAUCCCAAAUCCCUUCAACAGCUUUGCUUCAAGCUGGUGUCGUCGAAGCUGCUCAAAUCUAUUCCGAAUUAGUCCGUCUUGGUGCUGACAUGAAAGUUAUUGACAUUGGAGGCGGCCUUGGAAUCGAUUACGACGGGUCAAAAUCCGGUAAUUCUGAUCUCUCUGUUUCUUAUGGCCUUCAGGAAUAUGCUUCAGCUGUUGUUAAUGCUGUUCGGUUUGUCUGUGACCGUAAAUCUAUCAAGCAUCCAAUUAUCUGUAGUGAAAGUGGUAGAGCUAUUGUUUCCCAUCAUUCUAUUUUGAUAUUUGAGGCCAUGUCUGCUACUGCUCCUACUACCCCAGCAAUGAACCAAGUUGACCUUCCAUUUAUUUUGGAGGGUCUCUCGGAGGAUGCUCGUGUCGAUUGUUGGAACUUGAGCCAGGCAGCAAUGAGACAUGAGACGGAGUCCUGUUUCGUUUAUGCUGAUCAGUUGAAGCAAAGAUGUGUGGAACAGUUCAAAGAAGGGACUUUGGGGAUUGAACAGCUUGCCGCUGUUGAUGGCUUAUGCGACUUAGUUUCUAAAGUGGUUGAUGCAUCUGAACCUGCUAGGACAUACCAUGUCAAUCUUUCGAUUUUCACUUCGAUCCCUGAUUUUUGGAGUAUUGGUCAGAUUUUUCCCAUAGUCCCCAUUCAUCGAUUGGAUGAAAGGCCUGAAGUGAGGGGGAUUUUGUCUGAUUUAACCUGUGACAGUGAUGGGAAGAUUGAUAAGUUCAUAGGAGGUGAAACAAGCUUGCCUUUACAUGGGUUGGAAGGUAAUGGUGGUGGUAGCAGUGGUGGUGCUAAUGGGCGGUACUAUUUAGGGAUGUUCUUGGGUGGGGCUUACCAGGAAU